AAGCAAAUCUAGAAAGGGAGAUACUAUAAUCAGGAAGCUGGUUUAGCAAGAGUGAGGCUUUGUCCUUGCAGUCUGUUUGCAUUGAUCCAUGCAUACCCACAUUUUGGGAUCUUAACUUCAUAAUUUAUGGUAGUAGUCGACUGCAUUAGCCCUGUCCUCUG
ensembl:snRNA U1 U1 spliceosomal RNA